GCAUCUUCAUCAACACCGGGGAGCAGCGGAGAGGAUCUUGCAGACAUACAAUGGUGCAUUAAUGCCAAAUACUGAUCAGAAUUUCAGGCUAAAUUGGGCUACUCUUGCAGCUGGUGAGAGACGUCAAGAUGAUGGCCCUGAUUAUACAAUUUUUGUUGGAGAUUUGGCUGCUGAUGUCAAUGAUUACCUGUUGCAAGAAACAUUUAGAGCUGUUUACCAAUCUGUGAAAGGUGCAAAAGUUGUCACUGAUAGGAUCACUGGACGCUCCAAGGGCUAUGGGUUUGUGAGGUUUGGUGAUGAAAAUGAGCAAAGACGUGCCAUGGUUGAAAUGAAUGGACAGUACUGUUCUACUAGGCCCAUGCGGGUUGGGUCAGCUGCUACAAAAAGGCCUGCAGUGCAGCAAUUUCAGAAUGGUAUGUGUUGUUGUUUUCGCACUUAUUGGACAUUGUUGAAUGGAAUGUUGUUUUUUUAUUUUUUUUAUUUUGCUACUGUUCAAUCUGUGUUUGCACAUUAGGGUAGAAUAAAGCAGUAAGUUAGUUGAAUGAUUUGAUUAUUAUUCAUUCCUUUAUUAUUAUUUUUUUUCCUUUUUCCUUCCCUGAGUUGAUUUUGUCCAAACAGUGUUCUUAAUUUGUUGGGCUUUCAGUUUUGCGUCGGAGAUUGAUGGAAUGUGGAAAGUCAUUUCCUUCCAAUACUUACCUUUGUGAACUUGGGCGCAUUUAAUUCAGUUAAAACAUGCAUAAUCUUAUAUAAAACUCAUGUUGUCUUAAAGCAGGACACCAAGAGGCUCUCAUUUUGGGGGGCCUGGAACUGAUUUCAGCUGAAAUGAUUCCACUUAAAUGCGUGGCCUCAUUUUAGGUCAGUUAUGUUGUUUAUCAUAAGUUUACUUAUUUUUCUUGUGGCAUUUGCUACAUUCACAGAAUUGCUUUUCCAGUUCCUUACUUUUGAAAAUUUACCAUUCAUGUUGAGUUUAUUCCUUCUUUUUCCCUCUUUCAAAGAAUAGUUUAAUUCCUUUCCAGAAUUCCUUAAUUUAUGUUUAUUGAUAAGAACCGCCGUUUCAUUUCUUCAUAAUUAGGGUUUUUUUUCACUGUUUGCUUAUGGUCAACACCUUUUCUAAUUUUUUAUUUGAUAUUCUAUUUCAUGUGAAGUUGUGAGCUUUGGAUGUUCAUUCCAAAUGCUGGAAAUCACAUGAUGUAACCAUAAACAUAGAUUUGUUUCCAUGCUACUUGGCAUUCCUUUGACUUCCCUUCUUGCAUUUGGUGUCAUGCUACAGCUCCUCUUCUACUUCCUCCUUACUUACAUUGUGCUUAAUUUCCUCUAGCUAUUUGUUGCUUGAGUGCAUUAUUGACCUACACUCCAAUCUUGUGCUUAUAAUAUUCUAAAAUCUAUGUGCUUGUGUGAGGGUCAUUUUCGUUAGAACAUGUUUAGUAGGACUGGAGGCUGAAUGGAAUGAUUAUUCUAUUCGUAUUGAUUGGAUACAAAAUGAAAGAUUAAUGUAGUGUGGCAACGAUUUUCAUUCCUACAGCUAUUUUAUUUGGUGGAAGUAGAGAAGUGAUUAAGAUGUAGAUAAUGGAGGUGGCAGUCACUAUGCCAAUGAUACUAGUAGCAAACUGAUGGUGGUUUUGGAUGUGCUGGUGAAACUAUGGUGAUAAUAGCUGCCACAAUGAAAUGGUGGAUGGUGACUUAGCCAACUUUAUUGAAUAUGAGGUGUGGAUGGUAGCUGUAAGUGCAGAGGUGGUGAUAGUAGUGAUAGAAGUGACAAUGGGUAAUUAAUUGAUCAAUGUGAUGAAACUAUCAUUUCGACAUGAAUUUCAUGUGCCAUAAGCAUUACAUACCAAAGUCAUUUUGAUGGCAAAAUGUAAAUUGGAAUUACACUAGGUUAGCUAUUUUUCUAAACGGGAAUUGCAAUAUGAUUGUGAUUGUAUGACAUUGGUUUUUCAACAAAUUUGAUGUUGGGCUAGACUGCUAGGGCAGGGAAUGCUUCUAAGGUUUUCUAACAAUUAAAUGUAAUCUUAUGCACCUAGGAACUAGUUCAUUUGGGUUCCUUCUCCCCCUUGCAAACAGAAGACUAGUUGAUUCCGUUCAAUUGAUUUAGUUUAGUCUGGAAAUUGUUAUUGUGAUUUUGAUAUGCUUUUUGAUAUUACUGAAGGGUGCUCUUUUAAUCAAUUUAAUUAUUUAUUUUAUUUUUUUAAUUCCUUUUUUUUAAUUGGUUCUUUUUGAUGCUGAUCAUCUUAAGAUCUCAAAAUGUUUAAAGGAUUUCUAGAACACUUUACAUUGACUUCUAUGAAGAUUUGGUUAUUAUUGAUAGCAUUGAACUCACAUGCUUAUCAGAAGAGGUAUAUUUUCGUGUUGAGGAUGUUUGAUUUGGUCAUACCACUUGGUUUUUACCUGUUUCCUCCAUGCUAAGAGCUCUGAUUGCUUUCUAACAUCCUGUUCUCAAAAGCUACUCUCCAUGUGUACUUUUUUUUUCAUGUUAUAUUUAUUCAUAUUUUAGUUCACAUAUAUUCCUGGUUUGCAGCUUCCUUUCAGAAUACUCAAGGAAACCAGGGAGAGAAUGAUCCAAAUAAUACAACUGUGGGUAGUUUGUUUUACUGAUAGUUGGCAUGGUUAUGUCUUGCUCUAAACUAUUAACUUUUGAAUGCAG
rnacentral:misc_RNA from 1 species